ncrna:length=1920
CAAUCGGCCCUUUUCAGGGCCACUAAACAGCUUUCAACUAGUAAAG